rnacentral:rRNA from 1 species
AUUGAACGCUGGCGGCAGGCCUAACACAUGCAAGUCGAACGAGUGGCGCACGGGUGAGUAAUGUCUGGGAAACUCCCAGAUGGAUGGGGAUAACUACUGGAACCGGUAGCUAAUACCGCAUACCAUCGGAUGUUCCCAGAUGGGAUUAGCUAGUAGCUGGGGUAAAGGCUAACCUAGGCCACGAUCCCUAGAUGGUCUGAGAGGAUGACCGGCCACACUGGAACUGAGACACGGUCCAGACUCCUACGGGAGGCAGCAGUGGGGAAUAUUGCACAAUGGGCGCAAGCCUGAUAGAGCCAUGCCGCGUGUAUGAAGAAGGCCUUCGGGUUGUAAAGUACUUUCAGUGGGGAGGCGUUACCCGCAGAAGAAGCACCGGCUAACUCCGUGCCAGCAGCCGCGGUAAUAC